UACGUAGGGUGCAAGCGUUAAUCGGAAUUACUGGGCGUAAAGCGUGCGCAGGCGGUUGUGCAAGACAGAUGUGAAAUCCCCGGGCUCAACCUGGGAACUGCAUUUGUGACUGCACGACUGGAGUACGGCAGAGGGGGAUGGAAUUCCGCGUGUAGCAGUGAAAUGCGUAGAUAUGCGGAGGAACACCGAUGGCGAAGGCAAUCCCCUGGGCCUGUACUGACGCUCAUGCACGAAAGCGUGGGGAGCAAACAGG
rnacentral:rRNA from 1 species